UCUUCUAUCUACUUUUACUAGGUCCAUACUAGCUGCACUUAUUUCUAGGAAGCACUUUCCAUCAGCCAGAGGUGAGCUCCCUGUGACAGGAGGCGUUUAGAGAGAGGUUGAGUAACUGCCUGGGGUGUUGCAGAAGGGAACCCACCAUUGGAAGGGCUGGUCUGUGCUUCUAGCCGAGUGGUUCCUGAAUCCUCUCUGUCGCUAUGCUUUGCAGAGAUAGAAAUGAGGUGUGGGGAGGUAAAAAGGAAGUGACCUGUCCCACAGUGAAUCUGCAGAAAAGCCAGUGAAGACCAGGUGGAUGAAAAUGAGGCUGGGGCCAUGCCCAUGGGGAGAUGUUGGACGAUGCUUGAGUGCAAGAUGGCAGCAGGCCGGGAGAGGCCCAGAAGAGAACUCACCACGCCGUGGGGGUGAGUAGCGGGAGGGACAGCAGCAUGUGCAUCCCCCAAAGGCCUCCAGUUUGUUUGUAAAGUCUCAGGCAGGAAUCUGCCCUUGUGAUCCUGAGGCCUCAUGUUUCAGGGCUCAAAGCUGGCCCUGGGGACAGGAGGUGGCAACUGGUGUCUGACCCCCUAAACCUGGUGCCUCCACUGAUCAACAGACCAGAUAAGGGACAGGUCACCCCCUGACCUUAGGGCCUUGAGGCCCAGGGCGGGGAGUGGGUGGUGGUGCUGCAGUUAGAGGAUCCCAUUCUCAGGACAGUAAACCCUCGAAAGAACUUCUCACCCACUAUUUUCCAAGCUUUAGUCACUUGCAUUCUGCUUUCAUAAUGUUGACCAUUUCCAAGUUCCCUUGUAUUUUUAAACUUAAAAUAAAG
rnacentral:lncRNA from 1 species